rnacentral:rRNA from 1 species
UACGGGGGGGGGCAAGCGUUGUUCGGAAUUACUGGGCGUAAAGGGCCAGUAGGCGGCCGACUAAGUCCGACGUGAAAUCCCCAGGCUUAACCUGGGAACUGCGUCGGAUACUGGAUGGCUUGAAUUCGGGAGAGGGAUGCAGAAUUCCAGGUGUAGCGGUGAAAUGCGUAGAUAUCUGGAGGAAUACCGGUGGCGAGGGCGGCAUCCUGGACCGACAUUGACGCUGAACGGCGAAAGCUAGGGGAGCAAACGGG